rnacentral:misc_RNA from 1 species
AUAUAUAUAUAUAUAUAUAGUGGAGAAAAGAAGCCAGCUUGGAACUGGAAAGCCACCGAAAUGGACGCGCUCUGAGGUUUCAACGGAGAGCGAGAGAAAUAUCAAGAGCAAGGGAGCAACAGGCGGCGCCAACUGGGUUUCAAAUCUCUGACACUCUCUCCUCUUUUCUAAGGGAAUGCCUUGCCUUCCCUAUUGAUACUACAUUUCAAU